rnacentral:rRNA from 1 species
UACGAGUGCCUCGAGCGUUAUCCGGAAUUAUUGGGCGUAAAGGGUGUGUAGGCGGCGAUGUUAGUCUCGCGUUAAAUCUAUUGGCUCAACCGGUAGGCUGCGUGGGAAACGGCAUCGCUUAGAGGACGGAAGAGGUCUCUGGAACUCAUGGUGUAGCGGUGAAAUGCGUUGAUAUCAUGGGGAACACCGAAAGCGAAGGCAAGAGACUGGUCCGCUCCUGACGCUGAAACACGAAAGCGUGGGUCGCGAAUGGG